UGAGUAACCUGCCCUUAACUCUGGGAUAAGCCUGGGAAACUGGGUCUAAUACCGGAUAUGACUCCUCAUCGCAUGGUGGGGGGUGGAAAGCUUUAUUGUGGUUCUGGAUGGACUCGCGGCCUAUCAGCUUGUUGGUGAGGUAAUGGCUCACCAAGGCGACGACGGGUAGCCGGCCUGAGAGGGUGACCGGCCACACUGGGACUGAGACACGGCCCAGACUCCUACGGGAGCAG
rnacentral:rRNA from 1 species